rnacentral:rRNA from 1 species
GACGAACGCUGGCGGCGUGCUUAACACAUGCAAGUCGAACGGAAAGGCCCUGCUUUUGUGGGGUGCUCGAGUGGCGAACGGGUGAGUAACACGUGAGUAACCUGCCCUUGACUUUGGGAUAACUUCAGGAAACUGGGGCUAAUACCGGAUAGGAGCUCCUGCUGCAUGGUGGGGGUUGGAAAGUUUCGGCGGUUGGGGAUGGACUCGCGGCUUAUCAGCUUGUUGGUGGGGUAGUGGCUUACCAAGGCUUUGACGGGUAGCCGGCCUGAGAGGGUGACCGGCCACAUUGGGACUGAGAUACGGCCCAGAAUCGUACGGGAGGCAGAAGUGGGGAAUAUUGCACAAUGGGCGGGAGCCUGAUGCAGCAACGCCGCGUGCGGGAUGACGGGCUUCGGGUUGUAAACCGCUUUCGCCUGUGACGAAGCGUGAGUGACGGUAAUGGGUAAAGAAGCACCGGCUAACUACGUG